UACGUAGGUGACAAGCGUUGUCCGGAUUUACUGGGCGUAAAGAGCGCGCAGGCGGUCGAUCAAGUCGAGUGUGAAAGCCCCCGGCUCAACUGGGGAGGGUCAUUCGAUACUGAUCGACUCGAAGGCAGGAGAGGGUAGUGGAAUUCCCGGUGUAGUGGUGAAAUGCGUAGAUAUCGCUUGGAACGCCGAAGGUGAAAACAGGUCGCUGGGGACGCGCCGACGCUGAGACACGAAAGCCAGGGGAGCAAACGGG
rnacentral:rRNA from 1 species